CCGGUGGGUUUAGGGUUGAAUUGGGGCAGAAUUUUAGUAAAGUGAAAGACGUUGAAGAGCAGAGCGGUAACAAUACUAGCCUUAUUAGCUGCAGCAGCAACAACAAUAAUAACAAUGGAAGUGUUCAAGGGAAUAUCGGCCAGCAGUCUAGUGGUGGUGGGGGUGGUGUGAAUGUAGGCAAUAUACCCAAUGAGAGUAUGGGUAGGAAUGUGAAUGGAGGAAAUAUGAUUG
rnacentral:misc_RNA from 1 species